rnacentral:lncRNA from 1 species
AUCAAAUUCUACUGGUCUUCUUUGGACUGAUUUGAGUCACGCUCCAGUAGAUGUUCAACAUGGCUACAAGAGCUGAGUGAGUUUACAUUUAGGGUUGCUCAGUUCAGUAGCAGGCAGAGCUUCUAAUCCCUGUGGAGCUGCUGUUAGCCAUUGGUUGACCUGAAAGAUCACAGGAAUUGGCUUUAAUUCAGAGCCUGGUUUGCUCUGUCUGGUUUGCUGCUUUGGGUGGGUUUUGCUUAAAUUUGGACCAGUCAGUUAAAUUGCUUUUCCUUGAGUUUUUCUUCUUACUCUUGAGAAAAUCUCUUUUUAACAGUACUUUCAAGCACUUCUCCAUGAUCGUGCUAUUUCUUGUGCUGAUUGUCCUCAGGGUUUGGCCAGAGGGGUAGGGAGGUCUGAGGACAAGAGGAUGGGCAGGGGGAAGCAAGGGUGUGCUUUCAGUGUGUCCUCUAACAUCAGUGUGUUUUGUUCCUUGCCUGAGAGGAAUACUCUGAGUGUCCAGACAGCAUGCAAUUAAAUUCCAAAGAGCGUUGGUUUGAUGUGGCCUCUGCCUUCUCACUGGCUAAUCGAGCUCCACUGGGACUGGAGAUGGGUUCCAAGAAAGUACAAUUGAUUAGAUGCAUAUUUUCUGAAUUAUACAACAGAUCACACCCAGCUGCACAGCUUUUCUCAGAUAAUCCUUACAGACCAUUAAUGGAUAUCACACCAUGUCUGAGAGUCUUGCUCACUGUUGUUUGUAGUUGCUCCUGCCCUGGAUCAGAGCCCUUUCUAGUCUAUCUGCUCUUCUGAGAGAGAGAGACUGUGCCCUUUGGAACCCUGAGCAGCAUCAUUGCAGGUAUGGAGCCACACUACCAAGUGGAUUUUUUCUGGUGCACAGCAUCAGCCAGGUGUGUUCAGGGCUGCU